rnacentral:rRNA from 1 species
AUUGAACGCUGGCGGCAGGCCUAACACAUGCAAGUCGAACGAGUGGCGGACGGGUGAGUAAUGUCUGGGAAACUGCCUGAUGGAGGGGGAUAACUACUGGAAACGGUAGCUAAUACCGCAUAACGUCCGAUGGGCCCAGGUUGGAUUAGCUAGUAGGUGGGGUAACGGCUCACCUAGGCGACGCUCCCUAGCUGGUCUGAGAGGAUGACCAGCCACAUGGGGACUGAGACAUGGUCCAGACUCCUACGGGAGGCAGCAGUGGGGAAUAUUGCACAAUGGGCGCAAGCCUGAUGCAGCCAUGCCGCGUGUAUGAAGAAGGCCGUCGGUUUGUAAAGUACUUUCAGCGGGGAGGCGGUACCCACAGAAGAAGCACCGGCUAACUCCGUGCCAGCAGCCGCGGUAAUAC